AGCUCCAGUAGCGUAUAUUAAAGUUGUUGCAGUUAAAAAGCUCGUAGUUGGAUUUCUGGUACGCUGCGCCUGGCCCGCCUGCGUUAGCAGUGUGAGUGCUGGUGCGCGGUUGCCAUCCUUCUAGAGAACGGGUCUACCCUUUACUGGGCCGGAGUCGGAAUCUAGAUCUUUUACUUUGAAAAAAUUAGAGUGUUUAAAGCAGGCUUUUGCUAUGAAUACAUUAGCAUGGAAUAAUAAUAUAGGACUUUGGUUCUAUUUUGUUGGUUUCUAGGACUGAAGUAAUGAUUGAUAGGGAUAGUUGGGGGUGCUAGUAUUCAGCGGCCAGAGGUGAAAUUCUUGGAUUCGCUGAAGACUAACUUAUGCGAAAGCAUUCACCAAGGAUGUCUUCUUUAAUCAAGAA
rnacentral:rRNA from 1 species